CCCUACGGGGUGCGCAGGCAGGAAGACGAAGGAGGAUGUGAUCGAUCUUUCCGCGGGCAUCUGGAUGCAUAAACGCAUCGGCGACAAAGCCGAAAAAGGCGAGCGGCUGUGCACGUUGUACGCAAAUGACGAGGCUAAACUGAACGCCGCGCUCGCUAUGCUGCAGGGCAGCAUUCGUAUGUCAGGGGAGCCGUGUCCGAAGCAAAAGCUCAUCUACGCGCGCGUCGCGCCCGAUGAUAUCUGGGAGUUUUAAAGCAGGUCAGGCAGGCCUUAUGGGCCGCCCGCACAGUACGCAGGUGAAACCGGGUAUUCACAGGCCGUAGUCCUGGGAUUGUAUCCGGCACAGCUUUUCGCCGAUCUUCCAUACGCGCUGCAUGUAUUUAUCGCUGUAGGAAUUGGCGGGAGGGC
rnacentral:rRNA from 1 species